rnacentral:rRNA from 1 species
CAGUCGCCGCGGUAAUACGAAGGGUGCAAGCGUUAAUCGGAAUUACUGGGCGUAAAGCGUGCGUAGGCGGUUUGUUAAGUCUGUUGUGAAAUCCCCGGGCUCAACCUGGGAAUGGCAAUGGAUACUGGCAAGCUAGAGUGUGUCAGAGGAUGGUGGAAUUCCCGGUGUAGCGGUGAAAUGCGUAGAGAUCGGGAGGAACAUCAGUGGCGAAGGCGGCCAUCUGGGACAACACUGACGCUGAGGCACGAAGGCGUGGGGAGCAAACAGGAUUAGAGACCCCCGUAGUCCCUGUCUCUUAUAC